rnacentral:rRNA from 1 species
AACGUACGCUGGCGGCACGCCUAACACAUGCAAGUCGAACGAAGUAGCAAUACUUAGUGGCAGACGGGUGAGUAACAUGUAGGUAUCUACCCUUUGGCCUGGAAUAACACGAGGAAACUUGUGCUAAUACCGGAUAAGUCUUUACGGAGAAAGCUUUAUGCACCAUUGGAUGAGCCUGCACUUGAUUAGUUUGUUGGUAGGGUAAUGGCCUACCAAGACUAUGAUCAAUAGCUGAUUUGAGAGGAUGAUCAGCCACAUUGGGACUGAGACACGGCCCAAACUCCUACGGGAGGCAGCAGUGGGGAAUCUUGCACAAUGGAGGAAACUCUGAUGCAGCGAUGCCGCGUGAGUGAAGAAGGCCCUUGGGUUGUAAAGCUCUUUCGUCGGGGAAGAAAAUGACUGUACCCGAAUAAGAAGGUCCGGCUAACUUCGUGCCAGCAGCCGCGGUAAUACGAAGGGACCUAGCGUAGUUCGGAAUUACUGGGCUUAAAGAGUUCGUAGGUGGUUGAAAAAGUUGGUGGUGAAAUCCCAGAGCUUAACUCUGGAACUGCCAUCAAAACUUUUCAGCUAGAGUAUGAUAGAGGAAAGCAGAAUUUCUAGUGUAGAGGUGAAAUUCGUAGAUAUUAGAAAGAAUACCAAUUGCGAAGGCAGCUUUCUGGAUCAUUACUGACACUGAGGAACGAAAGCAUGGGUAGCGAAGAGGAUUAGAUACCCUCGUAGUCCAUGCCGUAAACGAUGUGUGUUAGACGUUGGAAAUUUAUUUUCAGUGUCGCAGCGAAAGCGAUAAACACACCGCCUGGGGAGUACGACCGCAAGGUUAAAACUCAAAUGAAUUGACGGGGACCCGCACAAGUAGUGGAGCAUGUGGUUUAAUUCGAAGAUACGCGCAGAACCUUACCAACACUUGACAUGUUCGUCGCGACUCUAAGAGAUUAGAGUUUUCGGUUCGGCCGGACGAAACACAGGUGCUGCAUGGCUGUCGUCAGCUCGUGUCGUGAGAUGUUGGGUUAAGUCCCGCAACGAGCGCAACCCUCACUUUUAGUUGCCAUCAUUAAGUUGGGCACUCUGAAAGAACUGCCAGUGAUAAGCUGGAGGAAGGUGGGGAUGACGUCAAGUCCUCAUGGCCCUUACGUGUUGGGCUACACACGUGCUACAAUGGUAUCUACAACAGGAAGCAAAACGGCAACGUUAAGCAAAUCCCGAAAAGAUACCUCAGUUCGGAUUGCACUCUGCAACUCGAGUGCAUGAAGCUGGAAUUACUAGUAAUCGUGGAUCAGCGUGCCACGGUGAAUGCGUUCCCGGGUCU